GGCGGAUGUAGCCAAGUGGAUCAAGGCAGG
rnacentral:ncRNA from 4 species